UGAGGUGUAGCGCAGUCUAGUCAGUGUAUCUGUUUUGGUUACAAAGGGCCAUAGGUUCGAAUCCUGUCACCUUGA
rnacentral:tRNA from 2 species